AUGGUACAGGUGUCGCUGUAUGUGCCUAAGGAGCCAGUGCUGGACUACAACAUGGUCAUCAUCUUCAUCAUGGCCGUGGGCACCAUCGCCAUCGGCAGCUACUGGGCCGGGAGCCGGGAUGUGAAGGAAAGAUAUAUGAAGCACAAGCACGACGACGGGCUGGAGAAGCAGGAGGACUGUGAGCCAUCACCUUCCCAGGUGCGGUUGGAGCCGCAGCCCGCGGCGCCGCAGGAGCUGGAGAUGCCCUCGCUGCAGAGCAGCCUGGCCUUGGGCCUGGAGCUGAGAGCCGCAGCCGGGAGCCACUUUGAUGCCGCGAAAGCCGUGGAGGAACAGCUGAGAAAGUCGUUCCAGAUCCACUGCGGCCUGGAGGAGAGCGUGUCUGAGGGGCUGAACGUGCCGCGCUCCAAGAGGCUCUUCCGAGACCUGGUGAGCCGGCAGAUGCCGGAGGAACAGGUUCUGAACGCCGCGCUCGGGGAGAAAUUGGCUCUCCUGCAGCCGCAGGCUCCAGCCCCGCCCCCCGAAGGAGCCACCUGGGCCGGGGCCAGACAUGACCAUCUUGUGUGACCCAGAAACACUAUUUUAUGAAUCUCCACACCUGACCCUGGACGGUCUGCCCCCUCUCCGGCUUCAACUCCGGCCCCGCCCUUCAGAGGACACCUUCCUCAUGCACCGGACACUGAGGCGAUGGGAAGCCUAGACCCCGAGGAUCCUUGGAGGACUAGUUCGUAUUUUUGUGUUAAACUAUUUGUCAGAAUAAAGUACUUUUGCUAAUAAA